rnacentral:rRNA from 1 species
CCUACGGGGGGCUGCAGUAAGGAAUAUUGCGCAAUGGGCGAAAGCCUGACGCAGCGACGCCGCGUGGGGGAUGAAGGUCUUCGGAUUGUAAACCCCUUUCGGGAGGGAAGAUGGAGCGAGCAAUCGUUCGGACGGUACCUCCAGAAGCAGCCACGGCCAACUUCGUGCCAGCCGCCGCGGUAAUACGAAGGUGGCACGCGUUGUUCGACUUCGCUGGGCGUGUAGGGUGUGUAGGCGGUUUGGUAAGCGUUAAAGCUUCGGGCUCAACCCGGAAAGCGCAGAGGGUACUGCCAGGCUAGAGGGUGGGAGAGGAGCGCGGAAUUCCCGGUGUAGCGGUGAAAUGCGUAGAGAUCGGGAGGAAGGCCGGUGGCGAAGGCGGCGCUCUGGAACAUAACUGACGCUGAGACACGAAAGCGUGGGGAGCAAACAGGAUUAGAUACCCCUGUAGUC